AGAACGAACGCUGGCGGCAUGCCUAACACAUGCAAGUCGAACGCUUGCCGAGGCUUCGGUUUCGGCAGGAGUGGCGCACGGGUGAGUAGCGCGUGGGAACCUGCCUUGGAGUGGGGGACAACCGAGGGAAACUUCGGCUAAUACCGCAUACGCCGGUUGUCUUGCAAGAGAUGGCCGGGAAAGAUUUAUCGCUCCGAGAGGGGCCCGCGUCGGAUUAGGUAGUUGGCGGGGUAACGGCCCACCAAGCCUGUGAUCCGUAGCUGGUCUGAGAGGAUGAUCAGCCACACUGGGACUGAGACACGGCCCAGACUCCUACGGGAGGCAGCAGUGGGGAAUAUUGGACAAUGGGCGCAAGCCUGAUCCAGCAAUGCCGCGUGAGUGAUGAAGGCCUUCGGGUUGUAAAGCUCUUUCGCCCGCGACGAUGAUGACGGUAGCGGGAGAAGAGCCCGGCUAACUUCGUGCCAGCAGCCGCGGU
rnacentral:rRNA from 1 species